rnacentral:misc_RNA from 1 species
ACAUUAGUAUUACAUGGAGAAAGAAUAACAUUUUAUUUAUAAUUAUUUAACUAAUAAAUUUGAUUUCAAGUUGUGUAUUUUUUCUGCACUGGCCAUUUACGAUAUGGAUUACGUAACCUAAUUUAAACAUAACCCGGCAAAUAUAUUGCAACUUUAUUGUAACUGUUGAACAAAUUAUUACGAUAACAUUCGACAUUGCCUUGCUUAACAGCAGAGGUAUAUUUAGUGUAAACUUAUCAAAACCAUCAACAAUAUCAAUUCAUCUCAAGAAAAUGGGAUUGACUAUCAGGUAAACGGAUCUACACGACAGUACCGUCAGGCAAUAAUGCACCGCGAACGGGUAACAACGACGUUUCUGCUCCGUCGAGAAGUGUUCGCGUCCGACAUUCGAUCGAUAGAGCAUCCGCACUUGAAAUGCAUGAUAUUUAUGUGUUUUUCAGUUCCGAUCGCCGUAGUGGUCCUACUCAGGAGGCGGACAGGAAUGACGAGCGAUUGCAGUUGAUUACCUUCUGUUUAAUCUGUAGAUGGCCACGGUUCCUUGUCUGGUUAACAGAGGAUCAAGCCCGUCGGGGUUUCGCGCAUCACGAUUGCUGCACGGGACCGGAAGAACGACCGAGACGGCCCUCUGGUUCGCGAUGACGUCGGUGGUCGAACGGCUACCAGUCCCGUAUCCUUUGCGGAAUGCGGUUCACAAACGGACUUCGUCACUACUGUCAGCACACGAGUGGCCAAACGUGACUUCGCGUGCGGCGACUCCUGCACAACGUUCGUUGACACGUGCACGCAGACUUAACCGUCCGCCGGUGAAGUCGCGUCCGACGUCAUCGAAGUAACUAGCGAGCAGGCGCAUUCUGCACUGAUGUGCGAUGCGGUCGACUCGCUGACAAGUGUCCGCGUGAUGACAGAACAAGUCAGUACGUUUGGUGAUGAUGAAGACGAAAUCGUUCCUUACGUACUACCGAAAAUGAAAGAAAAUCGCGCCAAAGAAUUGAACGUCACUUAUAAACUGUGGGAAAAUCGGUUUGCACGAUUUUCGAAAUUCAAUGACGGCAUCAUGGCAGACCCAGCGACCCUUUACUCCGGUCCUCCAGAAGUUUUGGCAAAACUGAUGGCUUCCCGGUGUAAGUCGCUGGGUACUGUGAUAAACCCGUUUUGCGGUUCCGGUGCGAUCGCGAUCCAACUGGCCAUGGUCUGCCGCAAAGUCAUUGCGAUGGACAGUGACCCGGUCAAAAUCGCGUUCGCCCGGAACAAUGCUCAUGUGUAUGGGGUCGAAGAUCGAAUCGUCUUUCUGGUAGGUGACUUCUUUGUCGAUGCCCACUCGCUGCAGAGGACAGACGGCAUCGUCACGUCACCACCAGUGAACAUGACUAAAGAGGAAAUGGUGAAGUUAAUCAAAUUGGCAAGUAGGGUGGCACCGAAAGUCAUAAUGAGGUUAACGAAGGACCAUGAACUGUCAGAUCUGUACCAACUAGAGAAUAAAAUAUUUAAUAAAAUUAAUACAGAACAAAUAUGUAUUGACAGGGAGCCAAAUUCAAUUUUGGCUUUCCUAGGUCCCGGAAUGAAUACGAAUAAUUAUAAUAGAAACGUAAAUAGGAUACAAAAGAAAGUGCUUUUGUUUUCGGAUGGGGUAUCUGUUAAUCGUCGUGUGCAUUGGAUAAGAGGUAAUAAUCUUUUUGCAUACGACGAUUACCUCAAAAACAUUGAAGAAUUCCUGAAGAGCCAAAAUCUCAAAUGAUAUACGAUUCCUCAACACAAUCGGAAGAAUAUAAUACAAUUGAUAUCUGAUAAUACACAUACCAUAUAAUAUAUUUUGAAUUAGAACUUUGUAUUUAUUCUAUAUCCAUUGAGAGAUUAGAAACAUGGUUAGGUUGAUAACGGAUGUGUUAAAAUAAAAUGGAGAUCUACAAGUUCACUGUUUGUGUAAAAUAUUACAAAUGACUGGUUCGAAAUUAUCAUAAAUGUAUUUCUAGUUUAAUAUAGCUCGGUCAAAGCUUUUGCGCAUCUAUUAAUAUUAGAACGUGAUUCGUUUAGAGAAAGUUAAUCAACAACGUUAAUACAAUUAAAAUACACGAUAUGACAUGUAUUUCGACAAAUAGAUUCAUGAAGAUUCAAUAAAAUACAUCAAGAUGAUGAAGUUACUUCUAGCUCACCGAACAUGAAAUACAUAAUCAACGAUAUUGAAGAUGACUU